AUUGAACGCUGGCGGCAGGCCUAACACAUGCAAGUCGAGCGGAUGAAGGGAGCUUGCUCCUGGAUUCAGCGGCGGACGGGUGAGUAAUGCCUAGGAAUCUGCCUGGUAGUGGGGGAUAACGUCCGGAAACGGGCGCUAAUACCGCAUACGUCCUGAGGGAGAAAGUGGGGGAUCUUCGGACCUCACGCUAUCAGAUGAGCCUAGGUCGGAUUAGCUAGUUGGUGGGGUAAAGGCCUACCAAGGCGACGAUCCGUAACUGGUCUGAGGGGAUGAUCAGUCACACUGGAACUGAGACACGGUCCAGACUCCUACGGGAGGCAGCAGUGGGGAAUAUUGGACAAUGGGCGAAAGCAUGAUCCAGCCAUGCCGCGUGUGUGAAGAAGGUCUUCGGAUUGUAAAGCACUUUAAGUUGGGAGGAAGGGCAGUAAGUUAAUACCUUGCUGUUUUGACGUUACCAACAGAAUAAGCACCGGCUAACUUCGUG
rnacentral:rRNA from 1 species